GCAUGGUUGCCGUCAGCUCGUGUCGUGAGAUGUUGGGUUAAGUCCCGCAACGAGCGCAACCCCUAUUGUUAGUUGCCAUCAUUCAGUUGGGCACUCUAGCGAGACUGCCGGUAAUAACCGGAGGAAGUGGGGAUGACGUCAAAUCAUCAUGCCCCUUAUGACCUGGGCUACACACGUGCUACAAUGGUUGGUACAACGAGUUGCGAGUCGGUGACGGCGAGCUAAUCUCUUAAAGCCAAUCUCAGUUCGGAUUGUAGGCUGCAACUCGCCUACAUGAAGUCGGAAUCGCUAGUAAUCGCGGAUCAGCACGCCGCGGUGAAUACGUUCCCGGGCCUU
rnacentral:rRNA from 1 species